GUUCCCUCUUCUCCUGCCGAGCCCUCGUCGCGCGCCCGAUUGCUCCAUGCCCUAACCGCCGGCCACUCGGCGGUUCUCUCCUCUCCUCUCCCACGCGUGCAUAAGCCUCGGACCAAGGGAGAAGCCGACGCUUUCUCCUCUCUGUGCUUGUGCCCGCGCGAAGCCUCAUCCGAGCCUCCACUUGGUUGUGCCCUAGAUCCGCCACCGGUCGAGUUUUCUUUCCGCACGAAGCCAGCCGAUUGCCGAUCUCUUCUUCUAUGCUCAGCCCGCGACUUCUAUCUCCCGGACGCACCUCGGCAGAGCACCCCCUUCACUGAUCUCUCUGUCAGUUUGAUCAAGCCGGCACCGUGUGUUCAUUUCACGUGCCCUAAUCGAUCUUGGGAGGUCACGAAAUUGGUGAGGAAGUGGGCUGUGGCGUUAUUUGAUCAGCAACAAUAGACUUAGUCCACAGAAGUGAGGGCUGUGAAUUGAAGGAAGAAUUACAGCGGGUUUCUGUGUGCUGUGGAUCAACAAACAAUUUGUUUGUUCAAAUUUCAGCAGCAAGCAACCUUCACCGUAAUCUUUUGGAUUGUGAAUUAGGGACUUUGACGCGAGACGAGUAUCUCGGAGUCAGAUUUGCACCAUUUUAUCAGAGGCGGG